rnacentral:lncRNA from 1 species
GCAUCCUGAUGAAAAACAACAAAUAUAUAUAUAUAUGAUUUUAUAGUUAGCUUGUGAAGCUAAAAUUUUAUGAGUUAUAUAUUCUUUCUAAAUUAAGAAUGACAAUAGAGCUAAGAUUAAUUUCUCUUUCUGGGCAUGUAAAAAGGAAGAUAGCAUAAAAUUGCUCAUCAAACUAAUACAUCUGGAAUUUUUUUUAUUUAACGGUUCUAAGAUAACAUUUCUAUUAUGUUUUCAGUUCACUUAAUCAAGUGACAAAUAUAAAUCUCAUUGUACUAUGUAUUUUUACAAAAGCUUUCACCUGAUCUAAAUUUAUGUGAUGAAAACAGAGUCUAUGUUUUCCCUUUCAAUACACGAACUUUAAAAUGAUACAAAGAAUUCACAUAAAAACCCUUCCCUAAAUUGUGUAUCCAGAAACAUGUAUGGAAUAGUGAUUUUUAAAUCAGAUACUGUAUCUAAGAUUGUAAACAGUCUAAAAAAUUAAAUCAAGUGUGUAAAUAAUCAUUAAUUUUUGCCCUAGUCAUAGCAAAGAAAAAAAUGUACAGCUCUAUCAAUAUAAAAAGAUAUCACAGAAGAGUUCACAUACAUAUACCAAACAACUAAUUAAAGGAUAUUGUAUUCUAAAAGAGUUAUUCUUAGGUCAAAAUUUAGUAGUCCAAAAAUUGUUAACAAGAAAGCUAACUAACUGAUGAUGACCUGUCAUUUUCUAGAAGUUGUGGCUGUUUAUUUACACAAGAGAAUUGGUAAAUUUUACUUAUCAUUUCUUAAAAUUUUAAAAGAAGAUUUGGAUAAUUGAAUUGGAUCAAAUUAAUUUGCAAUUUCAAGAGAACAUUAGUUUGAUCAAUUUUUUGAAACCAUAAAAAUAUUUUUCAAAUAAGCACACACAAUGGACAAUAAAAGAAAUGACAGAAUUAAGAUAUUUUAAUUAUGACUAUUGCUAUACUUUGGAAAAGUGUACAGAGGGAAAUUCCCAGAGAGCACUAAAAAGAAAAAAACCUACUGAAAAAUUCUGAAAGUCUGUUCUGUGCCCAAUCUCUGAGAUCAAGUCACCAAUUAAUUAACAUUGAGGAGCUAUUAGGAUGUGAGGUUCCUUUGUGGACCUCACCUUUUCCCCACUUUCUAGAGCCUUCCAUUUGUGCACAGUUUACAUAUCCUUAUUCAAUACACAUUAUUUUUCUAAUUAUAUUGAAGUAUAGUUGAUUUACAGUGUUACUUUUUUCAGUACAGUGGUACAGCCAAGUGACUCAGUUCAUAUAUAUAUAUAUACACAUAUACACACACACAUAUAUAUGUAUAUAUCCUUUUCAUGUUCUUUUCCAUUAUGAUUUAUCACAGGAUAUUGAAUACAGUUCCCUGUGCUACACAGUAAGACCUUGUUGUUUAUCAGUCCUAAAUGUACUAUAGAAGACAAAGAUUCUCUUGCAACAAUUUUUUACAUAAAAGCACAGCUGUAUAUCAAUUUGCUAUAGAUAUGGGUAUAUAAAGAAAAGGGACACUUGGGAGCUCAAUUUGAUGAUUUACUUACUCAACUGACAGAUACUUGAGGAAU